AUGAAGUUCACCACAUACGACAAGGCAUGGGACUUUUACAACAAUUAUGCAAGAUGUGCAGGGUUUGGCAUACGCCAGAGGGCACAACACAAGACAAAUACCUACAUUGUCUGCUCAAGAGAAGGGACGCACAAGCAGACUGUGUCAGAUUAUCAAAGGAAACGUCAGAAGACAUAAAAAAGGAUUGACUGCAAGGCAAAGAUUAGAGUCAAAAAGAGGAAGGAUGACAAAUUUGUGAUAGAAAUGGUUGAACUCAACCACAAUCACAAGACGUUGGAAAGCCCCGGGAUGCUUUUGCACAAGCGAUCGCACAAAAAAGACGAUCCUUUGAUAGACCAGUUAGUGAAAGACAUGCAACUAGACAACCACACACAUGCUCAGAUGAUGUCAACGCUGUCGCGUAUGUCCGGUGGUCUGUAGUACAUGGGACAUACUAGCCGCGACUGGGUAAACAAGAAACAAAAGUUUGCCAGAGAAGAGUCCCAAGAUGAUGUCAAGAAACUUCUGGAUUUGUUCGAGAAGAUGCAGAAGAUAAACCCAGAGUUCUUCUAUGAUUAUGACGUUGAUGCAGAUAACCGUGUAAGAAACGUCUUUUGGGCCAACGCAAGUUGCGAAGGAUCAUUUUGGAGACUGUGUUACAUUUAUCUGGUUCAGGGAGUCUUCAUGGGAGUGAACCAUCAUCUAUAGAGCACCAUAUUUGCUGUUGCCCUCGUGCGAGAUGAGACAAUACCAUCGUUCGAGUGGGUUUUCAAAACAUUUCUGAGGUGUAUGAACAACAAGCCGCCAAUCUGCAUCCUCACAGACCAGUGUUCUUCGAUGAAGGCAGCAUUAAAAACUAUCCUCCCACAUACUCUGCAUAAGUUGUGUCGGUGGCAUAUCAUGAAGAAGUACAAAGACCACCUCGCCUUGCUGUAUAAGGCGCACGAGAAACUCAAGGAUGAUCUCAAUGCGGUGCUCAACCACCCACUAAUGCUGUCAGAAUUUGAACGAGCAUGGAAGGACCUCAUUCAGAGAUACAACUUGCAAGACGACGAAGUGAUGAAUUCGCUGUGGGAAGACAGGCACGAGUGGAUCUCGGCUUACUAUAAGGAAGUUUUCUGUGCUCGGAUGACUUCCACGCAAAGAAGCGAGAGCAUGAACCGCAUACUGAAGCAAAACUUUGUCAAAGAGAAGCAUGAUCUCCAUCUGUUUGCUCAGCAGGUGGACAAGUGCAUUCAGACCAGGAAGGCCGUCGAGCACGCAGAGACAGUAGCAAAUGAGGUAAACAAAAAAGGUCCAUCAAAAACUGCUAAAAAAUAUAACUAUAGAAACAAACAAUUUUUUCAUUUAUCUGGUUCGUAA
rnacentral:rRNA from 1 species